GAACUUAAGCAUAUCAAUAAGCGGAGGAAAAGAAACUAACAAGGAUUCCCUUAGUAACUGCGAGUGAAGCGGGAAGAGCUCAAAUUUGUAAUCUGGCGGUCUCAGCCGUCCGAGUUGUAGUCUGGAGAAGCGUUUUCCGCGUCGGACCGUGUACAAGUCCCUUGGAACAGGGCGUCAUAGAGGGUGAGAAUCCCGUCUUUGACACGGACUACCGAUGCUUUGUGAUGCGCUCUCAAAGAGUCGAGUUGUUUGGGAAUGCAGCUCAAAACGGGUGGUAAAUUCCAUCUAAAGCUCAAUAUUGGCGAAAGACCGAUAGCGAACAAGUACCGUGAGGGAAAGAUGAAAAGCACUUUGGAAAGAGAGUUAACAGUACGUGAAAUUGUUGAAAGGGAAACGAUUGAAGUCAGUCGCGUCUUCCGGGACUCAGCUUGGCUUUUGCCUGGCGCAUUUCCCGGGGUGACGGGCCAGCAUCAAUUUCGACCGGCGGAGAAAGGUAGGGGGAACGUGGCACCUUCGGGUGUGUUAUAGCCCUCUGUCGUAUGCGUCGGUUGGGAUUGAGGAUCGCAGCACGCCUUUUUGGCCGGGGUUCGCCCACGUAACGUGCUUAGGAUGCUGGCGUAAUGGCUUUAAACGACCCGUCUU
rnacentral:rRNA from 1 species